rnacentral:rRNA from 1 species
UACGAAGGUGGCUAGCGUUGUUCGGAUUUAUUGGGCGUAAAGGGUCCGCAGGCGGUUUGAUAAGUCAGGUGUGAAAUCCCACAGCUUAACUGUGGACACGCACUCGAUACUGUCAGACUUGAGUAUGAGAGGGGUAAGAGGAAUUUCCAGUGUAGGGGUGAAAUCCGUAGAUAUUGGAAAGAACACCGGCCGCGAAGGCGUCUUACUGGCUCAUUACUGACGCUCAGGGACGAAAGCCAGGGGAGCAAACGGG